rnacentral:rRNA from 1 species
GGUUAAGCGAAUAAGCGUACACGGUGGAUGCCUAGGCAGUCAGAGGCGAUGAAGGACGUGCUAAUCUGCGAUAAGCGCCGGUAAGGUGAUAUGAACCGUUAUAACCGGCGAUUUCCGAAUGGGGAAACCCAGUGCAAUUCGUUGCACUAUCAUUACCUGAAUACAUAGGGUAAUGAAGCGAACCGGGAGAACUGAAACAUCU